rnacentral:rRNA from 1 species
ACGAACGCUGGCGGCUGCUUAACACAUGCAAGUCGAACGGAGUGGCGAACGGGUGAGUAACGCGUGAGCAACCUGCCUAAGACAGUGGGAUAGCCUCGGGAAACCGGGAUUAAUACCGCAUAGUCAUAGAUGGGCUCGCGUCUGAUUAGCUAGUUGGUGAGAUCACAGCGCACCAAGGCGACGAUCAGUAGCCGGGCUGUGAGGAUGGACGGCGACAUUGGAACUGGGACACGGUCCAAACGCCUACGGGAGGGAGCAGUGGGGAAUAUUGCACAACGGGGGAAACCCUGAUGCAGCGACGCUGGGUGAACGAAGAAGGUAUUCGUAUCGUAAAGUUCUGUCCUAUGGUAAGCAGUACCAUAGAAGAAAGCUCCGGCUAAAUACGUGCCAGCAGCCGCGGUAAUAC